rnacentral:rRNA from 1 species
GUGACUGCGUACCUUUUGUAUAAUGGGUCAGCGACUUAUAUUCUGUAGCAAGGUUAACCGUUUAGGGGAGCCGCAGGGAAACCGAGUCUUAACUGGGCGUUAAGUUGCAGGGUAUAGACCCGAAACCCGGUGAUCUAGCCAUGGGCAGGUUGAAGGUUGGGUAACACUAACUGGAGGACCGAACCGACUAAUGUUGAAAAAUUAGCGGAUGACUUGUGGCUGGGGGUGAAAGGCCAAUCAAACCGGGAGAUAGCUGGUUCUCCCCGAAAGCUAUUUAGGUAGCGCCUCGUGAAUUCAUCUUCGGGGGUAGAGCACUGUUUCGGCUAGGGGGUCAUCCCGACUUACCAACCCGAUGCAAACUGCGAAUACCGAAGAAUGUUAUCACGGGAGACACACGGCGGGUGCUAACGUCCGUCGUGAAGAGGGAAACAACCCAGACCGCCAGCUAAGGUCCCCAAGUCAUGGUUAAGUGGGAAACGAAGUGGGAAGGCUCAGACAGCCAGGAUGUUGGCUUAGAAGCAGCCAUCAUUUAAAGAAAGCGUAAUAGCUCACUGGUCGAGUCGGCCUGCGCGGAAGAUGUAACGGGGCUAAACCAUGCACCGAAGCUGCGGCAGCAACACUUAGGUGUUGUUGGGUAGGGGAGCGUUCUGUAAGCCUGCGAAGGUGUGCUGUGAGGCAUGCUGGAGGUAUCAGAAGUGCGAAUGCUGACAUAAGUAACGAUAAAGCGGGUGAAAAACCCGCUCGCCGGAAGACCAAGGGUUCCUGUCCAACGUUAAUCGGGGCAGGGUGAGUCGACCCCUAAGGCGAGGCCGAAAGGCGUAGUCGAUGGGAAACGGGUUAAUAUUCCCGUACUCGGUGUUACUGCGAAGGGGGGACGGAGAAGGCUAGACCAGCCGGGCGACGGUUGUCCCGGUUCAAGCGUGUAGGUGGGAAGAAUUGGUAAAUCCGUUCUUCCGUGAACACUGAGGCGUGAUAACGAGGCACUACGGUGCUGAAGUGGUUGAUGCCCUGCUUCCAGGAAAAGCCUCUAAGCAUCAGGUAACAGUGAAUCGUACCCCAAACCGACACAGGUGGUCAGGUAGAGAAUACUCAGGCGCUUGAGAGAACUCGGGUGAAGGAACUAGGCAAAAUGGUGCCGUAACUUCGGGAGAAGGCACGCUGGCGCCAGGUGACGGGACUUGCUCCCCGAGCCGAGGCCAGUCGCAGAUACCAGCUGGCUGCAACUGUUUAAUAAAAACACAGCACUGUGCAAACACGAAAGUGGACGUAUACGGUGUGACGCCUGCCCGGUGCUGGAAGGUUAAUUGAUGGGGUUAGCGGCAACGCGAAGCUCUUGAUCGAAGCCCCAGUAAACGGCGGCCGUAACUAUAACGGUCCUAAGGUAGCGAAAUUCCUUGUCGGGUAAGUUCCGACCUGCACGAAUGGCGUAAUGAUGGCCAGGCUGUCUCCACCCGAGACUCAGUGAAAUUGAACUCGCUGUGAAGAUGCAGUGUACCCGCGGCAAGACGGAAAGACCCCGUGAACCUUUACUAUAGCUUGACACUGAACCUUGAACCUUGAUGUGUAGGAUAGGUGGGAGGCUGUGAAGUGCGGACGCCAGUCUGCACGGAGCCAUCCUUGAAAUACCACCCUUGAAUGUUUGAUGUUCUAACGCAGGCCCGUUAUCCGGGUCGCGGACAGUGUCUGGUGGGUAGUUUGACUGGGGCGGUCUCCUCCCAAAGCGUAACGGAGGAGCACGAAGGUUAGCUAAUCACGGUCGGACAUCGUGAGGUUAGUGCAAUGGCAUAAGCUAGCUUGACUGCGAGAGUGACAGCUCGAGCAGGUACGAAAGUAGGUCAUAGUGAUCCGGUGGUUCUGAAUGGAAGGGCCAUCGCUCAACGGAUAAAAGGUACUCCGGGGAUAACAGGCUGAUACCGCCCAAGAGUUCAUAUCGACGGCGGUGUUUGGCACCUCGAUGUCGGCUCAUCACAUCCUGGGGCUGAAGUAGGUCCCAAGGGUACGGCUGUU